CCUUACUUCUAUUUUUAAAAGAGCACUUCUAAUCUAUACAGAGAAUCUCGAAAGCCUAUUCUUGAUGGAGAGUCACAGGCUAUUAUGUAGGCUAGACUAAGGACUAUUAGAUUUUUUUUAAACGUAACUUCUUCCUUCCAUCAAGGAAGCACAACCAUAGUGGAGUCUUUAUUUUGACUUAAAUUUAUCCUUAUCUUAAAAUAGUUUUAAAUAUUUAUAAUUAUCACCUUAAUUAUCUUAAAUUAUCUUUAAUAAUAAUGUUGCAAGUGGGCUACAUUAAGUUCCUAAUAUUUGAGUACAACACUCUCGAUCACCAAAGUCGGAAGCUUGAAUAAGGACAUGAGGUAUAUGGGAAGCGAGAUAAUGGCUAAGUUAAUCAGAACAAGUCUACCUCUGAAGGAGAGAUAUUUGAUCUUCUAAAAUGCAAAUUUAUUUUCAUUUCUUUGAAUCAUGAGUAACCAAUCUUUCUUAGAUGGUUUUGAGCCACUUAGAGACAAUCCCAGAUAUUUGAAAGGUGUAUCAAUCUCUUGACAAUUCAACCAUAUUGCACAAUCCAAGGUUUUAUCACCAUCUAGACCAUGACCAAUGAAGGAG
rnacentral:lncRNA from 1 species